rnacentral:rRNA from 1 species
AGCGUAGGCGGGAUUGCAAGUCAGAUGUGAAAACUAUGGGCUUAACCCAUAGACUGCAUUUGAAACUGUAGUUCUUGAGUGAAGUAGAGGUAAGCGGAAUUCCUAGUGUAGCGGUGAAAUGCGUAGAUAUUAGGAGGAACAUCGGUGGCGAAGGCGGCUUACUGGGCUUUUACUGACGCUGAGGCUCGAAAGCGUGGGGAGCAAACA